UCGGGUCUUUGUUCAGUUCAUCGAUCUCCUCUACAUCAUAUUUUCUCUUAAGUACUCAAUUUCACACGCAGAAAACCUAAUUCCACAUAGUCACGGAAACUCCUAAAAUCAAUUUGUUCUUCUUCAAACCGAUUUGCUGAAAUUCUUGAGGAGAUACGACCACGAGGGCUGGCGCGCGCGAUUGUACCUCAGCAACAGAGGACAAUUACCAAACAAGAGUUUUAGUAAAGAUAAAGGAUUUAGCCUGCUUUAUCAAAUCAAUGCCGUUAAAACUAGAUGGGCAGCUAAAAUAUUUUUGCAACUCAGUCAAGAGAAUCUGAUCUGGAUAAUUUAACUU